UACAGAGGGGGCAAGCGUUCUUCGGAAUUAUUGGGCGUAAAGGGCGCGUAGGCGGCCUGGCAAGUGGAAGGUGAAAUCCCUCGGCUUAACCGAGGAACUGCCCUCCAAACUGCUUGGCUUGAGUCCGGGAGAGGUGAGUGGAAUUCCCAGUGUAGCGGUGAAAUGCGUAGAUAUUGGGAGGAACACCAGUGGCGAAGGCGGCUCACUGGACCGGAACUGACGCUGAGGCGCGAAAGCGUGGGGAGCAAACGGG
rnacentral:rRNA from 1 species